rnacentral:snoRNA from 15 species
CCCACAAACUUGACAUGAUGAGAUACAUCCAAGAACCGAAUACAAUUUUAGGAAGAGCCGGAAGAGGUAUGACAUGCCGUCACUAUCAAACUCAAUGGGGCCGCAAAUGCAACACGUCCCCAGCUGCAGAUUUGGAAAAAUUU